CUAUUGAGCUUCUGUCAAUUAUUUCUCAGGUGUAUAGGACAUGAAACAGUACACAUCUGGUCCUAAAAUAUGAAUGUGAAGUGGAUAUUUUGUGAAAAAGGAAUGAUUUAUUGCAUCUAUGUGGCUUAUGAUCUGGAAAGCACAAAUAACUACUUUCCAAAAUAAAAGUGACAUGGGGUUCAACCAUUGAUACAAGAAAAAAAGUACCAGAGGCUCCAGGUGGAAAUACUUACUACCUUAAAAAUAAUUAUUAUCACCUAAAUCCUGCCCUGGCAGGGCUAUAUCUGUGUGUUAAAGUGAAGCAGCAGCAUAUUUCCUUUGGUAGAGGUCAAGAAACUCAAGGAAAUGAAUAGCUGGUCCUGACCUAGGGUUGCCUGUUAACUCAGCAGGAGGAAAAGUAAAAGCCUUUCUUGAAGGUAAAAAUAUAGCUUUAUUUUUAUCAUUCCUUGUUGUAAAUGGUUCAUAUAAGCUAUUUUGACAUCCUGACAUCUGACACACUGUCUUGCCUUGACUUUUAAUAAUCACAUAUGCUCUAACUCUAUAUUGCUUGACUUCUAAAUCUCAGUUCUUAGUCACUUAUUUCUGAGUAUUCUUUGUUUCUAGCCCACUUACGUGCUUGCUUCUUUCUUCACAAGAUUGCCUUUGUUCAUUUGAUCCUGUAUCUCUAUCCUUUUCCUGAAAAACAGUGGUUAUCAUCAUCAUUUCCUGUGGCUAUUCAAGUUUUCACAACCACUUCAUUGCCCAGAGAACUGUAGCAUCAUAGAAGCAUAGGUAUACAACUGGAU
rnacentral:lncRNA from 1 species